UGGAGGCCCUUCCCAGGCGUUAGUUCUCAGGCUUGAUUCUUUAGUAAACUCAAUUUUCGCUUGCCUCGAUUUAUUUAAGCCAACAGAUGGCACCCUACCAGAUGGAAGGAGGGGAGACUUCACCUGAACCUACCUGGAGCAGCAAGCACACCCAACUUCGUGGUAGCAGCGACAUCCCCUUGAGCCCAUUCGGCUCCUCAGAGUUCCACAUGUGGUGUCUGAACCAAAUAUGACUGACCUUCAAGAACUGUACACAUGUCGUCUAGUCCUAUGUCCUUAAUGCAAAGUGAAUUGAUAUUGCCAACAAUUUGUAAUCAGAAAAUUAAGAUACAAAAGGAAGCGAAGUAACUUGCAGGGUCACACAGUA